AAAAGCCAUUCAGACCAGUAAUAAAGAAAUAGUUGAAGUAAUGGUCACUAGAUAGAAAAUACACGAAAUUGAGCUUAGUUAAUAAAUCUUCACGGAGGAGAGCCGCAUAAAUCGGGCGCGUGUAAUUGGUCCGCGGCGAGGGCAGUUAAGAACACGAGUGUCACAAUAUUUAAACGGAUAAUCCGGGUCCGGCGCUCGUCUCCCGCCAUACUGACGCAGCCUCUGCUGUUUUUACUGCGACAGCUCGCCUCCACGUUAUUAACGGAACUAAUUUCGGUCUUAAUGAUAACAUGUGGCGAAAUAAAUUCGGGAUUUAAUUAGGAACAUCAAACGACGAGUUAUGUGAGGUGAAAAUAUUUGGAAACAUUUAUUUUUUUCUUCUUUUUGGCUCUGGCACGGUUUGUGCAUUCAGAAAUCUUGGGAUUUAGAAGAUUAUGUUUCGGAAUUAAUAUAACAAGGUAAUGGGAUUAGAUUCCGGAAGAAUAAAUAUUGAACGGGUUUGAGGGCCUCCUAAAAUUUUGCCUUCGCAGAAAGCAUGUCUUGAUAGCUGUCCUGUUCAAAUGCAGCGUAAGGUGACACACGCAGACAUAUCUGGCUAAUCUCAACAUUUCUGCGGUUCACUACUUUCAAAAUGACUGGACUUCAAAACGCAGGGUGAUAUCGAGCAAUUUAAUGUUGUUAUUUUUAUAAGUGUAAACAAAAGAC